AGUAGACGUCCUAGGUUUUGCAAUGGCUGGUUACUUGUAUUCCACAUUCAUUUUCCUAUUGUGUGUUUCUAAAAUAUCUUCAACCAAUGGAUUUUCCUCGAACAAACAGCAGCAACAAUUAACUGGCAAUCAUAAUAAAAUAUUGCAACUGGAAAACAGAGACAAACGAUUGGAGGCUCUGGAGUUAAAGGUUCAACAACAUGCUGAAAUUCGAGAAGCUUUGACAUCCAAAGUUAUUGAACUGGAG